CAGUAGCGUAUAUUAAAGUUGUUGCAGUUAAAAAGCUCGUAGUUGGAUUUCUGGUUGAAGCGACCGGUCGGGCGUUGAUUCGUCUGCACUGGAGUCGGUUUUGGCCAUCCUCUAGGAAAGUGCGUCUGGUAUUAAGUUAUCGGGCGUAUGAUCCUGGUCUUUUACUGUGAAAAAAUUAGAGUGUUUAAAGCAGGCCUUCGCCUUGAAUACAUUAGCAUGGAAUAAUAAGAUAGGACUUUGGUCUAUUUUGUUGGUUUGCAGACCGAAGUAAUGAUUAAUAGGGAUAGUUGGGGGUAUUUAUAUUCCGAUGUCAGAGGUGAAAUUCUUAGAUUUUCGGAAGAUAAACUUAUGCGAAAGCAUUUACCAAGGAUGUUUUCAUUA
rnacentral:rRNA from 1 species